GACGAACGCUGGCGGCGUGCCUAAUACAUGCAAGUAGAACGCUGAAGGAGGAGCUUGCUCUUCUGGAUGAGUUGCGAACGGGUGAGUAACGCGUAGGUAACCUGCCUGGUAGCGGGGGAUAACUAUUGGAAACGAUAGCUAAUACCGCAUAACAGUAGAUGUUGCAUGACAUUUACUUAAAAGGUGCAAUUGCAUCACUACCAGAUGGACCUGCGUUGUAUUAGCUAGUUGGUGGGGUAACGGCUCACCAAGGCGACGAUACAUAGCCGACCUGAGAGGGUGAUCGGCCACACUGGGACUGAGACACGGCCCAGACUCCUACGGGAGGCAGCAGUAGGGAAUCUUCGGCAAUGGACGGAAGUCUGGCCGAGCAACGCCGCGUGAGUGAAGAAGGUUUUCGGAUCGUAAAGCUCUGUUGUAAGAGAAGAACGAGUGUGAGAGUGGAAAGUUCACACUGUGACGGUAUCUUACCAGAAAGGGACGGCUAACUACGUG
rnacentral:rRNA from 1 species